GAACGGGUGAGUAACACGUGGGUGAUCUGCCCUGCACUUUGGGAUAAGCCUGGGAAACUGGGUCUAAUACCGAAUAGGACCACGCGCUUCAUGGUGUGUGGUGGAAAGCUUUUGCGGUGUGGGAUGGGCCCGCGGCCUAUCAGCUUGUUGGUGGGGUAAUGGCCUACCAAGGCGACGACGGGUAGCCGGCCUGAGAGGGUGACCGGCCACACUGGGACUGAGAUACGGCCCAGACUCCUACGGGAGGCAGCAGUGGGGAAUAUUGCACAAUGGGCGCAAGCCUGAUGCAGCGACGCCGCGUGAGGGAUGACGGCCUUCGGGUUGUAAACUUCUUUCAAUAGGGACGAAGCGCAAGUGACGGUACCUAUAGAAGAAGCACCGGCCAACUACGUGCCAGCAGCCGCGGUAAUACGUAGGGCGCGAGCGUUGUCCGGAAUUACUGGGCGUAAAGAGCUCGUAGGUGGUUUGUCGCGUUGUUCGUGAAAACUCACAGCUUAACUGUGGGCGUGCGGGCGAUACGGGCAGACUAGAGUACUGCAGGGGAGACUGGAAUUCCUGGUGUAGCGGUGGAAUGCGCAGAUAUCAGGAGGAACACCGGUGGCGAAGGCGGGUCUCUGGGCAGUAACUGACGCUGAGGAGCGAAAGCGUGGGGAGCGAACAGGAUUAGAUACCCUGGUAGUCCACGCCGUAAACGGUGGGUACUAGGUGUGGGUUCCUUCCUUGGGAUCCGUGCCGUAGCUAACGCAUUAAGUACCCCGCCUGGGGAGUACGGCCGCAAGGCUAAAACUCAAAGGAAUUGACGGGGGCCCGCACAAGCGGC
rnacentral:rRNA from 1 species